rnacentral:misc_RNA from 1 species
AAAAUUCUCUUGGAUCUUCAUGAAUAAUUCAAAUUCAAGACUAAAAUUUGUACCAACAGUAGCAAAGUCCAAAUAUUCAAUAGCUUUAUUCUCAUUUCUAUCAUCUUUUUGAAAAUGAAAAUUCAUGCACAAAGUGCACUCCCUUACCCAGUCAAAAACCAACACACCAUGACAGAGGAUUCUCAAUUUUUUAGGAGUUUUGAGACAAGUAUUGGAAGAAGCAAAUCAAAAACAAAUAUGAUGGAACAGCAUCUCUAGAUUUCUCCAAAUAUUUCUGGCUUAAUACUAUAGCUACCAGUCUUGAACAAGCCUACACCAAUUUCUGCCUGAAAAAAUAAUAGGGAACAAGCAGGCAUUGAUCAGACCUAACUUCUUGCUGGCAUGAGCAAUAUUAAUUUGGUGACAGAGUAUAUAUGAUUCCCACUAUUAUAGAAGUAUAUUUGAAAAAAGCUGACUCAGAAUUACACAUGAACUUCUUAUAGAAUCAUAGACAAACAACAAAUUUGAUCACCGUAAAAAUUAUUUCACUCAAUAGACCAUGUUGUAAUCCAGAAUCAAGUUCAUAAACAUGUUCAUUACUGUGUACAGGUGCAAUUACUGCUAUAAAUUCUAGUCAUGCAGACAGAAGCAUGAAAUAUUUUCAGCAGAUAUUAGUGACUUUCACUGAGGAAAGCACUAGUACUACUAUUCCCCAAAGGAAACAAACCACACUUCCAAGUUAAAAUAUCCAAUAUAAAUAUAAGUUCUCAUCCUAAGAAUUAAGUAUAAAUACCUAUAAGUUUAUUGCCUGUGAAUCUCAAGAAUGACUUGCCCAGCUGCCAAAAUUAGCUCCAGACCAUCAAGAGACUGAACCUUCUUAAAGCCUCUUCACAAUUUCUUCAUUUACACGAUCAUAGUAAGUCAUUCUCCGAAUACAAGUUAUAGCUUCUUCAAAUUUCUCGCUUUGAAAAGCAUUUGCAAAGGAAUUAGACCAAUGUUGCAAUUUUUCUCUCAUCUGGUAUUGAAUCUCAGUUAAAGCUUUAGAGUCAGGUGCCUCUUCAACCGCUUCCCUGAUUUCCAUAAUCUCCGCUAACAAUUGUGGUUCUGAAAUUGUUUCUUCUUCAUUAACAUUUACUCCUUCAAGCUUUAACUGUGAAAAACACAAGAAUUGAUCUUAUAAUAUUUUCAAAAAGGACCACUCAUAGAAGGAGAUACUUGGGAGGACAAAGAAAAGAAAGGCAGGUAUCAAUGAAUUGCAUAAUCAAUAAAGUUAACCAAGAAAUCCGCAGAAUGAUAGUCUAUGAAACAAAGUGAAGUAAUGCCAAGCGACAUCAAAUGUCAAAACUACCAAGGUCCAGUAGGUCUGAUGCCUUCUGCCAUUUAUCUACAAUAUUAUACACAAAUCCAAUAAUACAAUUAAAAAGUAUAAAUAAAAAAACUUCACACAUCAAUAAGGGUCAAGCAUAAAUCAGGGUAAAAAUCAUCAUUACAACAGCUGGGCUGUGAAACUUAUCGAUCAGGAAUAUUACAAUUUUAGUCCUUCAACACAAAUAAAAAUAAAAAUGUUGUUACACAAGGAUUUUUUUUUUUUUUCAAAACCCUGAAAUCAAAUGAAAGAAAAGGCGCAAAGGCCAAUAAGUUCAGUGUAAAUAUACAAUAUUUGAAUAAAGAAGUAUCCUACUAACAUACUAUCCAAAUGACACCCAACAUCCACACAUAAGGUUAAGAAGAAGAAGCUUUACAAUGUAUAUUGCCCUUAACCGCGGAUUGCGAAGAGUUCUGCACGCAUCAGUCACCCGAGCAGACUGCUCCGCCGCAAAAUCUCUCUCUUUCUGAGAUUUCGAAUGAACUAAAUCAGGAUGCAAUUUUUUCUGCCAGUCUUUGUACUUCCCUUCCAGAUUCUCAUCCUUCAUUUCAUACUUCUUCUCCAGUCCAAAUAUCUGGAAGUAAUCAAUAGACUGAUCAACAGGCUGGAUGGUUCCACACGAUUCACAAGCCAGAAACAGCGACCGUUGAGGCUGAGCAUUGCAGUUCCAGCAACUAGUUUUAGCUUUCACCAAAGAUUCGGAGCAGAAAUUUUUCCCGGAAAAAUUGAGAGAAUUCUGAAGAAUGUGAUUUUCACACGUGCUAAAGAAGAAGCUAUAAGUUCCGACGUUCGAGGAGUAGACUUGUGGAUUGGAACUAGAAGGAAGGAGUAGGAAACGGCCUGGCGUCGACGAGAAGGUCCUGCGUCGAAGAAGCUUCGAGAGAGGCGUCCAUAGCUCCUUUGUUCUCGACAUUUUCUUUCUGGGUUUUUGGAGCGACGGCGGCUUUCCGAGUAUCCUGUAGACUAUGAAACGGUACGCUUUGGAAUCGCACCAAAACUGAACUCAUUCAAUUCAAGACUAAACUCGGGGCUCUUCACGGGUCGGAUUUAGUCGGGUUCUUCCAACCGACCUG